rnacentral:rRNA from 1 species
CCUACGGGUGGCAGCAGUGAGGAAUAUUGGUCAAUGGACGCGAGCCUGAACCAGCCAAGUAGCGUGAAGGAUGACUGCCCUACGGGUUGUAAACUUCUUUUAUAUGGGAAUAAAGCGAGGCACGUGUACCUUUUUGUAUGUACUUUAUGAAUAAGGAUCGGCUAACUCCGUGCCAGCAGCCGCGGUAAUACGGAGGAUCCGAGCGUUAUCCGGAUUUAUUGGGUUUAAAGGGAGCGUAGAUGGGUUGUUAAGUCAGUUGUGAAAGUUUGCGGCUCAACCGUAAAAUUGCAAUUGAUACUGGCAGUCUUGAGUACAGUAGAGGUAGGCGGAAUUCGUGGUGUAGCGGUGAAAUGCUUAGAGAUCACGAAGAACUCCGAUUGCGAAGGCAGCCUACUGGACUGCAACUGACAUUGAUGCUCGAAAGUGUGGGUAUCAAACAGGAUUAGAUACCCUAGUAGUC